rnacentral:ncRNA from 16 species
GUUCAAGGCAAUUAUUCAGGUGCUCUUGCUUAUCAGGCUAAUUCGAGUCUUGAAAAGCAAGAGUUAAAAGGGAAUACCGGUGAAAAUCCGGAGCAGUCCCCGCUACUGUAAGUAUUGACCCAAAGGGGUAAUAUAAGCCAGAAAAUCUGCCUGAGUGAUUUAACAAAAU